rnacentral:lncRNA from 1 species
ACUACUCUACUAUUUAGGAUAAACACAUACCCUGAUAUUGACUUACUAUUAUUGAGAUCAAAUUGAAAAUUAAAAUCUAUAUAUCCCUCUAGUUUCAAGUUUGAUCCACCUCCAUAUAUUAGAAAAAAUCUUUAAUACUCCUUAGGUACUUAAGAAUAUUUUUCAUAGCUUUCUAAUGAUCCUCCGAUAGAUUAGCUUGAAAUCUACUAGC